rnacentral:rRNA from 1 species
AUUGAACGCUGGCGGCAGGCUUAACACAUGCAAGUCGAGCGGGGUGAUGGUGCUUGCACUAUCACUUAGCGGCGGACGGGUGAGUAAUGCUUAGGAAUCUGCCUAUUAGUGGGGGACAACAUCUCGAAAGGGAUGCUAAUACCGCAUACGUCCUACGGGAGAAAGCAGGGGAUCACUUGUGACCUUGCGCUAAUAGAUGAGCCUAAGUCAGAUUAGCUAGUUGGUGGGGUAAAGGCCUACCAAGGCGACGAUCUGUAGCGGGUCUGAGAGGAUGAUCGGCCACACUGGGACGGAGACACGGCCCAGACUCCUACGGGAGGCAGCAGUGGGGAAUAUUGGACAAUGGGGGGAACCCUGAUCCAGCCAUGCCGCGUGUGUGAAGAAGGCCCUAUGGUUGUAAAGCACUUUAAGCGAGGAGGAGGCUCUUUUGGUUAAUACCCAAGAUGAGUGGACGUUACUCGCAGAAUAAGCACCGGCUAACUCUGUGCCAGCCGCCGCCGUAA